rnacentral:lncRNA from 1 species
GAGAGCAUUUUGAUGCCGAAUCUGGAUCAGCAAGGCCACCUCCAGAAGGAAAAGAAAAAAGUCCAGACUUAAAAUUUUAAUUUGAUUUCAGUGUUGCUAUAGAGAAGCAGAGCUUGAUGCCUGGAAAGCAUUCAAUAGAUGUUACUUGAAUUGAGAUUGUAUCUGAAUACUUAAUGAGCUUUUGUUCUAUUGGUCAAGGACAUGUUGAAA